CUUCAUGUGACCACUUACAGCGUCCGGGCUAUAGGAAAUGGCGUCUUCUAUCAAAGCUGUAACAUUAUUUCGAAAAUGUCAAAAGUUUUCGAGACCUCCCACUCCUCUCUCUCUCCUUCCAACCAGCGGCGACCAUACUACAUCCAUAUAAUUCUGAACCUGAGAAAUUGGAAUACUAUCAAGACCAAGAGGAGAAGUAGAAGUGCUAUUAAACACUUCUUCCAUUUUGAAGCCUUUAAUGUAACCAACAGUAGAGCAUAACCUUUGCGGAUUAAGGAUAUGUUUGGUUCGUAUAACGUUUUUGGAAAGGGACUGAGUUGCUGAUUGGCUUGUUAAUUAUGCUCAUUCAAACCUUGCUUUUAUUUCUUCGUUGCCUUUCUCUUUAAAGUGUUUUUCUUAUACCGACAUUUGGGGAUGUAUUACCCUCCGAUGCGUGUAGAUUUCUAUUGAUCUCUUGUUUUCUAUCAAAAAAGAAUGGUCCAUUUUGAUUCCACGAUUCCCAUUCCGAGCGGAAUGGAAAUCCCCCAUUUGAGGGAAUGACCAUUCCCGACUCACCUCCCCGGAAUCAGAAUCCCAUUCCCGCUAUUUAAUAUAAGAAAAAACCAAAAUGACAAAAAAAAAAAAAAAACUCAAAUCUCUCUCUUUACUUGAAUCCAACUUUCUAACCCUCACUCCCCCUUCUCUCUUGUCACUCCCUCCACCAGCAAAAGUUUGAAGUACUGAUUUGAAUCAAAACUCCAGCGCUGAUGACGACGAGUUUUUCCGCUGCAGACUAGACCAGACCAAACCACAACAAGAUGAGAUGUUGCAGCUAGAGGAAGCCAGAAGGUUUCACAUUUCCUUGUAUUCACAGGUAAGAACUCGUACCUUAACCUAGCCUCUUUUUUAUCCAUUAGAAGGUAAGUGCAUUUGCCAUUACAGGCCUGAUGUUCCUCAUAUCCAAGCAACAGUUAUUUGUUCUAGAAAAGCAGGAAUGCAACUUAGAGUACAAAGUGGUGGCCACGACUACGAGGGAUUUUCAUAUGUAUCUGAUGUUCCAUUCGUCAUUGCUGACCUGCUAACUUUUCGAUUUAUUGAUGUUGAUAUAGAAGAUAACAGUGCAUGGAUUCAAGCUGGACCAUUUCUUGGGGAUGUUUAUUAUAGAGUUGUAGAGGUUUUUUUUUUUGUUUAUGGAUUUUUCUUUUCAUUUUUUAUGGUGGAGAAUGAUUUUUUUUUGUUUAUGUGUUUUUCUUUUUAUUUUUUUUCAUAUUUUCUACAUAUAUGCACUUGUUAGCAGGUUGCCAAUGUGUGUAUAUGUUGAAAAUAUAUAAUGAGUGGCUGUUUUUGAGGUUUUUUUAAUAAGGGCAGAAUUGAAAACUUUGGUUGAUUCCAAUUCCAGCUUCUAGUUGAACCAAACAGUAACAAUCAAAAUCAGAUUCCUAUUGCUGAGUGAACCAAAUAGGUGCUAGGAAUAGGUGAUUCCGAUUCUGAUUCCAUCCUGUCCACAAACC